rnacentral:lncRNA from 1 species
GUCAUACUAUACUGUGAUAUACUGUGAUGAUUUAUUUUUGUGCCAUGUAUUUACAUAUCUUUCUCUCACUAGUCUGUAAUCUUCUUGAGAAUAGUGCCUAGAACAGUGCCAGCACACUGUAAGGAUGCAAUACUUAUUUGUUGAAUAACUGGCUGAAUAAACAAGAAUCAUAAUUUAGAACUGUAUCUAUUCAUAUCUCUAAUAGUUUCAAUGUAAAAUAAAUUUCUAUUACUUGUUAAAUGCCAGAAAGACUGACUCAUUCCCCAGGAUUUUGCGAAUUGAUGAACAUAUGAUCAAACUGUUUUGUAACCAUUAAAUAAAUAAAGUACAGAAAAGUAAUUAUCCUGGUCUAUAUAGGCUUAUCUAUACUCUUCAAAUUACAUGAUAUUCUUUAUGUAUCUAGGGGAGAAAGUAUUCAGCAACCUCAACCAUCUGUGAUUGCUCUGAUCCUGGAAGUCAGGGAGAAAAGCACACUUACCAGCCUUUGCCUCCAGAGAAGUUGCUUGCCUUGGUACCUGCAGUUCCCAUCUGGUAAUAUAUCACUUUUGCUUAAAGAUGGAGAAAAAAGCAAAAGAGUUAUCAUUACAGAAGUUCCUGGCUAUCACACAGCAAAAUGUGAAUGUGCUGGAGUGACUGAAUGGUUUUGGGAGCCCCUCAGCCAACUGAAUGGGGCAAGAAAAGAAAGAAUAGAAGAAAGAGACCCUUUUGUCCUCUUGAGUCUGCUGCCUGCAUGUUCUUUCUGGCUCUUGGUAGCCCUUCUCAAUAGAAUAUUUUCUAGAUCAUUUCCUUUAUACCUCAGUUGUAUUUCUCUGCCAAUUUAAAGUUGCUCUGUCUCAUAUUUUAGAACCUCAAUAAAUAAAACUUUGAAAAUGUAAUUAUUAUCCAUUAUUCCUGGAAAUAUAAUGCUUUAUCCAAAGGAAUUCAUCUCUAAUGGUGGAAACCUGGUGCCUGCACAAUGAGAAAGCUAUUUUAGGAAAGGGGCAUCACUCAGAUCACUGCCAAUGGCCUCUUUGGUCAUCUGUUCUGGUGAAGACUGAGCUGGCUGCAACACUUAUGGUUACUGAGACUAUAAGGCAAUAGGGCAGGGAAAAAACAGGGAGG